UUGAACGCUGGCGGCAGGCCUAACACAUGCAAGUCGAGCGGAUGAAGGGAGCUUGCUCCUGGCUUCAGCGGCGGACGGGUGAGUAAUGCCUAGGAAUCUGCCUGGUAGUGGGGGAUAACGUCCGUAAACGGGCGCUAAUACCGCAUACGUCCUGAGGGAGAAAGUGGGGGAUCUUCGGACCUCACGCUAUCAGAUGAGCCUAGGUCGGAUUAGCUAGUUGGUGGGGUAAAGGCCUACCAAGGCGACGAUCCGUAACUGGUCUGAGAGGAUGAUCAGUCACACUGGAACUGAGACACGGUCCAGACUCCUACGGGAGGCAGCAGUGGGGAAUAUUGGACAAUGGGCGAAAGCCUGAUCCAGCCAUGCCGCGUGUGUGAAGAAGGUCUUCGGAUUGUAAAGCACUUUAAGUUGGGAGGAAGGGCAGUAAGUUAAUACCUUGCUGUUUUGACGGUACCAACAGAAUAAGCACCGGCUAACUUCGUG
rnacentral:rRNA from 1 species